rnacentral:rRNA from 1 species
CAGGUUUACCUGUGUGACUGCGUACCUUUUGUAUAAUGGGUCAGCGACUUAUAUUCUGUAGCAAGGUUAACCGUAUAGGGGAGCCGGAGGGAAACCGAGUCUUAAUUGGGCGUUAAGUUGCAGGGUAUAGACCCGAAACCCGGUGAUCUAGCCAUGGGCAGGUUGAAGGUUGGGUAACACUAACUGGAGGACCGAACCGACUAAUGUUGAAAAAUUAGCGGAUGACCUGUGGCUGGGGGUGAAAGGCCAAUCAAACCGGGAGAUAGCUGGUUCUCCCCGAAAGCUAUUUAGGUAGCGCCUCGUGAAUUCAUCUCCGGGGGUAGAGCACUGUUUCGGCUAGGGGGCCAUCCCGGCUUACCAACCCGAUGCAAACUGCGAAUACCGGAGAAUGUUAUCACGGGAGACACACGGCGGGUGCUAACGUCCGUCGUGAAGAGGGAAACAACCCAGACCGCCAGCUAAGGUCCCAAAGUCAUGGUUAAGUGGGAAACGAUGUGGGAAGGCCCAGACAGCCAGGAUGUUGGCUUAGAAGCAGCCAUCAUUUAAAGAAAGCGUAAUAGCUCACUGGUCGAGUCGGCCUGCGCGGAAGAUGUAACGGGGCUAAACCAUGCACCGAAGCUGCGGCAGCGAACGUAUCACCCAAGACAACUUUACGGAGUUGACGAUUGACGGAGCGAAGCGACGUCAAAGCGUUCAUUAAAGUCGAGUUGGCUUAGGGAUACGUUCGUUGGGUAGGGGAGCGUUCUGUAAGCCUGUGAAGGUGUGUCGUGAGGCAUGCUGGAGGUAUCAGAAGUGCGAAUGCUGACAUAAGUAACGAUAAAGCGGGUGAAAAGCCCGCUCGCCGGAAGACCAAGGGUUCCUGUCCAACGUUAAUCGGGGCAGGGUGAGUCGACCCCUAAGGCGAGGCCGAAAGGCGUAGUCGAUGGGAAACGGGUUAAUAUUCCCGUACUUGGUGUUACUGCGAAGGGGGGACGGAGAAGGCUAUGUUGGCCGGGCGACGGUUGUCCCGGUUUAAGCGUGUAGGUGUGUGUUCCAGGUAAAUCCGGUUCACUUUAACACUGAGGCGUGACGACGAGGCACUACGGUGCUGAAGCAACAAAUGCCCUGCUUCCAGGAAAAGCCUCUAAGCAUCAGGUAACAUCAAAUCGUACCCCAAACCGACACAGGUGGUCAGGUAGAGAAUACCAAGGCGCUUGAGAGAACUCGGGUGAAGGAACUAGGCAAAAUGGUGCCGUAACUUCGGGAGAAGGCACGCUGACACGUAGGUGAAGUGAUUUACUCAUGGAGCUGAAGUCAGUCGAAGAUACCAGCUGGCUGCAACUGUUUAUUAAAAACACAGCACUGUGCAAACACGAAAGUGGACGUAUACGGUGUGACGCCUGCCCGGUGCCGGAAGGUUAAUUGAUGGGGUCAGCGCAAGCGAAGCUCCUGAUCGAAGCCCCGGUAAACGGCGGCCGUAACUAUAACGGUCCUAAGGUAGCGAAAUUCCUUGUCGGGUAAGUUCCGACCUGCACGAAUGGCGUAAUGAUGGCCAGGCUGUCUCCACCCGAGACUCAGUGAAAUUGAACUCGCUGUGAAGAUGCAGUGUACCCGCGGCAAGACGGAAAGACCCCGUGAACCUUUACUAUAGCUUGACACUGAACAUUGAGCCUUGAUGUGUAGGAUAGGUGGGAGGCUUUGAAGUGUGGACGCCAGUCUGCAUGGAGCCGACCUUGAAAUACCACCCUUUAAUGUUUGAUGUUCUAACGUGGACCCGUAAUCCGGGUUGCGGACAGUGUCUGGUGGGUAGUUUGACUGGGGCGGUCUCCUCCUAAAGAGUAACGGAGGAGCACGAAGGUUGGCUAAUCCUGGUCGGACAUCAGGAGGUUAGUGCAAUGGCAUAAGCCAGCUUGACUGCGAGCGUGACGGCGCGAGCAGGUGCGAAAGCAGGUCAUAGUGAUCCGGUGGUUCUGAAUGGAAGGGCCAUCGCUCAACGGAUAAAAGGUACUCCGGGGAUAACAGGCUGAUACCGCCCAAGAGUUCAUAUCGACGGCGGUGUUUGGCACCUCGAUGUCGGCUCAUCACAUCCUGGGGCUGAAGUAGGUCCCAAGGGUAUGGCUGUUCGCCAUUUAAAGUGGUACGCGAGCUGGGUUUAGAACGUCGUGAGACAGUUCGGUCCCUAUCUGCCGUGGGCGCUGGAGAACUGAGGGGGGCUGCUCCUAGUACGAGAGGACCGGAGUGGACGCAUCACUGGUGUUCGGGUUGUCAUGCCAAUGGCACUGCCCGGUAGCUAAAUGCGGAAGAGAUAAGUGCUGAAAGCAUCUAAGCACGAAACUUGCCCCGAGAUGAGUUCUCCCUGAGACUUAGAGUCUCCUGAAGGAACGUUGAAGACGACGACGUUGAUAGGCCGGGUGUGUAAGCGCAGCGAUGCGUUGAGCUAACCGGUACUAAUGAACCGUGAGGCUUAACCUUACA